UAGAUGAAAGUGCGCGGACUUUUCCCGGGUCAUCGCUAAAAUCGUGGUGAGUUUCGCAGUUCAAACGAGGGACGGCGGAUGAUUUCAUCUAUCUUUGGUUUCGAAGGGAUUAUCCUCCACCCCCACUCGCAUCGCCUGUCAGGAGUGUUCUCUUCGCCACAAAUUAAAAGAGGCACCGCGCCAACGAUUACUUCACACGUCAUUCGAUUUGACAUUCGAUUUGAUGGCAUCUGUCGCUGACAACAAUCAGCGGCAACAAAAACCAGUGUUCCACUGGAGCACCAUCGUCAUCAUCGUCAUCAUCAUCACCACCAUCACCACCAUCACCAGCAUCAACAUCAACAUCUUCGAGCGACACACAUCUGAAUGGGCGCGUGGGCGUAUGCGCGAUAUCAGCACUUGGUAUUGAAUAGGCCCAGCUAUUAAUUGGUUCAUCAUAGCGCCGCGUUGCGCAGACAUCCUUCCGCUCCAAGCAGCUUCCUGUCAACUCUGCGACUCCGUAUUAGCUUUCGCCUCCUUGCGCCUAUGUACAUACGUGU